GAUCCUGGCUCAGAACGAACGCUGGCGGCAGGCUUAACACAUGCAAGUUGAACGGGAUUUGUAUGGUGCUUGCACCAUGUAAUGAGAGUAGCGCACUGGUGAGUAACACGUGGGAACAUACCUUGAAGUGGGGGACAACAGUUGGAAACGACUGCUAAUACCGCAUAAUCCCUGAGGGGGGAAAGAUUUUAUCGCUUUAAGAUUGGCCCCGCGGAAGAUUAGGUAGUUGGUGGGGUAAAGGCCUACCAAGCCGACGA
rnacentral:rRNA from 1 species